ACCAGACUCCUACGGGAGGCAGCAGUGGGGGAUAUUGCACAAUGGGGGAAACCCUGAUGCAGCGACGCCGCGUGGGUGAAGAAGUAUUUCGGUAUGUAAAGCCCUAUCAGCAGGGAAGAACGAAGACGGUACCUGACUAAGAAGCCCCGGCUAACUACGUGCCAGCAGCCGCGGUAAUACGUAGGGGGCGAGCGUUAUCCGGAUUCACUGGGUGUAAAGGGAGCGUAGACGGCCGUGCAAGCCAGGAGUGAAAGCCCGGGGCCCAACCCCGGGACUGCUCUUGGAACUGUGCGGCUGGAGUGCGGGAGGGGCAGGCGGAAUUCCUGGUGUAGCGGUGAAAUGCGUAGAUAUCAGGAGGAACACCGGUGGCGAAGGCGGCCUGCUGGACUGCAACUGACGUUGAGGCCCGAAAGCGUGGGGAGCGAACAGGAUUAGAUACCCCCGUA
rnacentral:rRNA from 1 species